ACCAGCUGGCUGCAACUGUUUAUUAAAAACACAGCACUGUGCAAACACGAAAGUGGACGUAUACGGUGUGACGCCUGCCCGGUGCUGGAAGGUUAAUUGAUGGGGUCAGCCGUAAGGCGAAGCUCCUGAUCGAAGCCCCAGUAAACGGCGGCCGUAACUAUAACGGUCCUAAGGUAGCGAAAUUCCUUGUCGGGUAAGUUCCGACCUGCACGAAUGGCGUAAUGAUGGCCAGGCUGUCUCCACCCGAGACUCAGUGAAAUUGAACUCGCUGUGAAGAUGCAGUGUACCCGCGGCAAGACGGAAAGACCCCGUGAACCUUUACUAUAGCUUGACACUGAACAUUGAGCCUUGAUGUGUAGGAUAGGUGGGAGGCUUUGAAGUGUGGACGCCAGUCUGCAUGGAGCCAACCUUGAAAUACCACCCUUUAACGUUUGAUGUUCUAACCUAGGCCCAUAAACUGGGUCGGGGACCGUGUCUGGUGGGUAGUUUGACUGGGGCGGUCUCCUCCUAAAGAGUAACGGAGGAGCACGAAGGUUGGCUAAGCAUGGUCGGACAUCAUGCGGUUAGUGCAAAGGCAUAAGCCAGCUUGACUGCGAGAGUGACGGCUCGAGCAGGUACGAAAGUAGGUCUUAGUGAUCCGGUGGUUCUGAAUGGAAGGGCCAUCGCUCAACGGAUAAAAGGUACUCCGGGGAUAACAGGCUGAUACCGCCCAAGAGUUCAUAUCGACGGCGGUGUUUGGCACCUCGAUGUCGGCUCAUCACAUCCUGGGGCUGAAGUAGGUCCCAAGGGUAUGGCUGUUCGCCAUUUAAAGUGGUACGCGAGCUGGGUUUAGAACGUCGUGAGACAGUUCGGUCCCUAUCUGCCGUGGGCGUUGGAAGAUUGAGAGGGGUUGCUCCUAGUACGAGAGGACCGGAGUGAACGCACCACUGGUGUUCGGGUUGUCAUGCCAAUGGCAUUGCCCGGUAGCUAAGUGCGGAAGAGAUAACCGCUGAAAGCAUCUAAGCGGGAAACUUGCC
rnacentral:rRNA from 1 species